UUUCCGUAGGUGAACCUGCGGAAGGAUCAUUAAUGAGUUGUCAUUGGGUUCGAUGCUGGCAGCCAGUUUUUGGAUGCAUGUGCUUGCCCUAACAAUCAUCUUCUUCCAAACACCUGUGCACAUUUUUGAGGGAGUCUUGAGUUGGUUGCCGCUCUUGGGUGAUUUUCUCACAUUCCCUUAAAUCAUUAUACGCUAUUAACAAUGUUGAACGUGCUCUGUGCCGCAAGGCCAUUAAUAUAAUACAACUUUUAACAACGGAUCUCUUGGCUCUC
rnacentral:misc_RNA from 1 species